AACUUACCUACAACGUUGCCUCGGCGGGAACAGACGGCCCCGUAGAACGGGCCGCCCCCGCCAGAGGACCCCCUAACUCUGUUUCUAUAAUGUUUCUUCUGAGUAAACAAGCAAAUAAAUUAAAACUUUCAACAACGGAUCUCUUGGCUCUGGCAUCGAUGAAGAACGCAGCGAAAUGCGAUAAGUAAUGUGAAUUGCAGAAUUCAGUGAAUCAUCGAAUCUUUGAACGCACAUUGCGCCCGCCAGUAUUCUGGCGGGCAUGCCUGUUCGAGCGUCAUUACAACCCUCAGACCCCCGGGUCUGGCGUUGGGGAUCGGCGGAGCCCUCUGCGGGCACACGCGUCCCCCAAAUACAGUGGCGGUCACGCCGCAGCUUCCAUUGCGUAGUAGCUAACACCUCGCAACUGGAGAGCGGCGCGGCCAUGCCGUAAAACACCCAACUUCUGAA
rnacentral:misc_RNA from 1 species